GACGUAGGGGGCCAGCGUUGUUCGGAAUUACUGGGUGUAAAGGGUUCGUAGGCGGUGUAGCAAGUCGGGAGUGAAAUCUCUGGGCUUAACCCAGAGGCUGCUUCCGAAACUGCUGUGCUUGAGUGUGGGAGAGGCGCGUGGAAUUGCAGGUGUAGCGGUGAAAUGCGUAGAUAUUGGGAGGAACACCAGUGGCGAAGGCGGCUCACUGGACUGGUACUGACGCUGAUGCGCGAAAGCGUGGGGAGCAAACAGG
rnacentral:rRNA from 1 species